UAGACAUGGAGCUGCUUUCUCCGGCAGCGGCUGCGAUCGGCUUCAGAGAGCGGCGCUCAGAGCCGGGGUGUGGGAGCCUCGCUGGGAGAAAGGAGCGGAGAGAAUUCACAAAUCCUGAAUAAAGAUACUCAGGGAGUUCCUGACUCCGUAGACUUGCCAACUGCUGGUUGGGACGAUGGUUAGUCAGCCAGAGAGUGACAAAGGUCAGGGAGUUCAGGAGCCUUCAAUAAAUCCUGCCGCCAGGGUUCUGAUUCAGACCAACCGGGUUCUGCCUCCGAACUCUGCCAACCGCGGACUGUCCUUUAACCCUUGUAUCAAGGGAGACUAUCCACAGGGUUCAGUUCCAAGAGCCAAACUCCAAGCUGUCAGCAUCAGCCCUUAUCCCCACCGGCUAUCACUUCUCCCGUGGCAAAUCGAAAUACUGCGAGACACACAUAAACGGAGCAACAGAUGUUUAUUCAAUCUUCGAAGAUUGGGCGUGUUUCCAAAAAGGACUUCGGAAAUCGCGACGGAAGAUUUUACAGCACCAAUAUUUAUACAUUAAUUUUCCAUUCAAUAACAUUAAUGAUAAUUUCAUUGGUUAAAACAUCUCACG